rnacentral:rRNA from 1 species
UACGUAGGGUGCAAGCGUUAUCCGGAAUUAUUGGGCGUAAAGAGCUUGUAGGCGGUCUGUCGCGUCUGCUGUGAAAAUCCGGGGCUCAACCCCGGACUUGCAGUGGGUACGGGCAGACUAGAGUGUGGUAGGGGAGACUGGAAUUCCUGGUGUAGCGGUGAAAUGCGCAGAUAUCAGGAGGAACACCGAUGGCGAAGGCAGGGUCUCUGGGCCACUACUGACGCUGAGAAGCGAAAGCAUGGGGAGCGAACAGG